AUACUUUACAAAUAAAAGUGCGUUCAUGAAUAUUUAGACGGCACAAAUGAAGUGAUCUGAACUAACGUGUAAAAGAUUUGAUGCAGGAAAUCACAUUCAUUUCAUUUUAAUUCAUUAACCACUAACAUAAAAGAAGAUAAAAUUCGGAUUGAACUCAAGCUAUCCGCCUUUGACUCCGGUGAUAACCCAAUUCACAAGACAUCCGUUUUCCAGAUAGUUGACAUUUUUUACAGACACAUGGCACACAGAUAAAAGAUCAUAAAAGCAUGUUUUUUAAGUCUUGGAAGAUAAACAUCAAAUACUGACCAAAUGUUCAGCGGAAAGUAUUACAAUGAGAUUUGUAUGGCAGAGAUCAAACACAAUAUAUCUAGAAGAACAUAUACUGACACAUGGAAUAUAAAGAAGAAGCUAGAGUUAUUAUUUCAAAUUAGUCCGUGUUCAGCGGCAAGUAUUACAAUGUGAUUUGGAUGAGAACAAAAGAUGUAUAUCUUGAGGCACAUACUGACCCAUAGAAAAAAGAGAAUAAGGAAAGACAGUGAAAAACCGGAAAUAUUUGAAAGGCUAGAGUUAUUAUUUCAAAUUAGUCCGUGUUCAGCGGCAAGUAUUACAAUGUGAUUUGGAUGAGAACAAAAGAUGUAUAUUUUGAGGCACAUACUGACCCAUAGAAUAAAGAGAAUAAGGAAAGACAGUGAAAAACCGGAAAUAUUUGAAAGGCUAGAGUUAUUAUUUCAAAUUGGACAGUGUUCAGCGUCAAGUAUUACAAUGUGAUUUGGAUGAGAACAAAAGAUAUAUAUCUUGAGGCACAUACUGACACAUGAAAUAUUCAAGAAUUAUGUACAGAGAAUUAUGAAAGAUAGUGAAAAGCUGGAAAUAUUUGAUAAGAAGUUUCAUUCAUUACUGUGCAGUCAAGUACUUGGAUUUAUUCUGAACAUGAAUUGAAAUUGAUCAAGAACCAGAUUUCAGAUUGUGGUAAUGAAUGUGAAAACAGAUGAAUUAAAGUGUAUAGCUACAACCUGCUGAAAGAUGUUUUGCUGAUACAUGUGAUAUGGGAUAUUUGGAAAUAAAAUUGUUUUUGUAAAAAUAUCAUUAUUUGAAUGGAAUUAUUUCAAACAAGUGUAUUGAAAUCUGUGAUAACAGUUUGUAAAUCUGAUUCAUCCAGUUCAACUAAAUUAAUGCCAAGAUUCUCAAAUUCAAGAAAAAUGUCAUUAAA